UUGCGUCCUCAAGGGCAGCCAGGCCCCACAGCGUCCGGCUUCCAGCUCUUUGUGAAGCUAAGAAACAGCUCACUCUGCACAGGGCUUUUACAAGCCUACCGGGAGCAUGUCUUACAAAGGCCUAUGAAACGCAGUUUCAUCUCAGGCCUGCUCUCGCUGAAGUAGAACUUCUGCUCUGCCGUGUCCUACAUGGGCCUAGAGCUAAAAGGGACAAAGUCCUGUCUUGUGUCCUCAAGGGCAGACAGGCCCCACAGCUUCCGGCUUCCAGCUCUUUGGGCAGCUAAGAAACAGCUCGCUCUGCACUGGUGUUUUACAGCCUACUGGGAACAUGUCCUACAAAGGCCUGUGAAACGCAGUUUCUUGCCAGGCCUGAUCUCGGUGAAGUAGAACUUCCGCUCUGCCGUGUCCUACAUGGGCCUAGAGCUGAAAGGGACAAAGUCCUCCGUUGUGUCCUCAAGGGCAGACAGGUCCCACAGCGUCCGGCUUCCAGCUCUUUGGCAGUCUAAGAAACAGCUCGCUCUGCACAGGGCUCUUAAAGCCUACCGGGAACAUGUCUUACAAAGGCCUGUGAGACGCAGUUUCGAACCAGGCCUGAUCUCGCUGAAGUAAAACUUCUGCUCUGCCGUGUCCUACAUGGGCCUAGAGCUAUAAGGGACAAAGUCCUGUCUUGUGUCCUCAAGGGCAGACAGGCCCCACAGCGUCCGGCUUCCAGCUCUUUUGCAGUCUAAGAAACAACUCGCUCUGCACAGGGCUCUUAAAGCCUACCGGGAACAUGUCUUACAAAGGCCUGUGAGACGCAGUUUCUUCCCAGGCCUGAUCUCGCUGAAGUAGAACUUCUGCUCUGCCGUGUCCUAUUUGACCCUAGAGCUGCAAUUCACAAAGUCCUGCCUUGUUUCCACAAGGGGAGGCAAGUCCCUCAGCGUCCGGCUUCCAGCUCUUUGGGCAGCUAAGAAACAACUCGCUCUGCACAGGGCUCCUACAAGCCUACCAGGAACAUGUUGAGAAAGGCCUGCGAAACGCAGUUUCUUCCCAGGCCUGAUCUCGCUGAAGCAGAAGUUCAGCUCUGCCGUGUCCUACAUGGGCCUAGAGCUCAAAGGGAGAAAGUCCAGCCUUCUGUCCUCAAGGGCAGAGAGGCCCCACAGCGUCCGGCUUCCAGCUCUUUGGGCAGCUGGGAAACAGCUUGCUCUGCACUGCUGUUUUACAGCCUACCGGGAACAUGUCUUACAAAGGCCUGUGAAACGCAGUUUCUUCCCAGACCUGAUCUCGCUGAAGUAGAACUUCUGCAAUGCCGUGUCCUGCAUGGGCCUAGAGCUGAAAGGGACAAAGUUCUUCCUUUUGUCCUCAAGGGCAGACAGGUCCCACAGCGUCCGGCUUCCAGCUCUUUGGCAAGAUAAGAAACAGCUCACUCUGCUCAGGGCUUUUAAAAGCCUACCAGGAGCAUGUCUUACAAAGGCCUGUGAAACGCAGGUUCGCCUCAGGCCUGCUCUCGCUGAAGUAGAACUUCUGCUCUGCCGUUUCCUGCAUGGGGCCUAGAGCUGAAAGGGACAAAGUUCUGCCUUUUGUCCUCAAGGGCAGACAGGCCCCACAGCGUCCGGCUUUCAGCUCUUUGUGCAGUCUAAGAAACAACUCGCUCUGCACAGGGCUCUUAAAGCCUACCGGGAACAUGUCUUACCAAGGCCUGUGAGACGCAGUUUCUUCCCAGGCCUGAUCUCGCUGAAGUAGAACUUCUGCUCUGCCGUGUCCUAUUUGACGCUAGAGCUGCAAUUCA
ensembl:lncRNA